AAGGGCACAAGGCGAGACCCAGAUGCAGACACAGUAGGCAGAUGGUUUGAGUCUCUGAUAUUUAUUACAAUCCAAGGGGUAGGCAAGUUCAUGGACAGUCAAAAGAUCAAAACCAGGUCGGAGUCCAGGAGGUACAGAGUGGCAGGGAGGCUCAAGGGCAGGGCAAGCAGAAUGGUCAGGCAGGCGGGUUCAGAGUCCAGACAGGCAAGGGUCACAAUCAGGGGGGGCUAUCAAAACAGAGCGAAGGGAAAAAGCAGGAGAACGGGAAACAACACACUGGUUGACUUGACAAACAAGACAAACUGGCAACAAGCAGGGAACACAGGAAUAAGUACCCAGGGACUUAUGAGGAAAACACCUGGAGAAGGGUGGAGACAAUCACAAAGUCAGGUGAAACAGAUCAGGGUGUGACACUGUUACAUACAAGGACCAGGGGUGGAAUUUCCACAUUUUGACUGUGACAUAUUUUCCCUUUCCAAAAACUCUUUCCCCUAUACCUUUUCAGGCCUCUGGGAUUUGUGGUGAGAACAGAGAACAACUGAGCACAUUACAACACACACUGGAACCUGUCCCAGUCAUCACAACCAUGGACAUGAGGUCACAGAACAUCUCCCUCUUACUCAACCUACCCAAGAUAUCACAGGCUCUCCUUAAAUGAUUUGCCUAAGAUUUGCCUAAUCAAAGUGAAUUCUUCCGCUGCUCUAUGUUCGCUACAUAGAUCAGUCUUAAACUGCCAUCAUUAAAAAAAAAAAAACCUAACCCUAACCCAAAAUAAGGGGUAUUGUACAAAACAAAAUAACCAGUGAUUGGAUCAUAAAAGCCUGUGACAAAUUUUCAAACCACUGCUUUACCCACGUGUGUUCUGGCUCUGGCCCAGCCCAUCGAUUUCUGGGACCAGCGCUAGCAGCGCUAGCUAACCUCAUAUCUGAAUUCCAUUCUAGAAUUCGUAGGGGAGGAACUCAGAGCCAGAUUCAGAAACGGGAUUAAAUUAUUCUGGCCCGGGAGCCCCGAGUUGGCGUGUUUCGCACCGGGUGAAAAUUGAUUGCAUUCGUUUUGGAACCGGGCUGCCUCCCAGGCGUGAGCCAGGUGCCCUACUCAAAGCCCAUGGCGAAGUUGGCUCAAAUGAAACGUGAAGUAAUUAGCACGUGGAGUAAUGAGUAGGAUUAUGUUUUGUCAAAUGCAAACGUGAUUGCUUUUGAUAAAAACGCUAUAUCUGCCUUCCCAAUGAAAACUAGUUAGAAAUGUCAAACAUAUUGUAGCGACCCUGGUUUAUUAACAUGGACUUUCGACUCUGCCACUUGAGCAGGCUUUUGUGGCACAGUCGAUGGCGGGCUGGACUUUGAGGGUUCAAGAUGUGUUCCCUGCCUGUUUCAUUACAUUGGUGUUGGAAGGGAUCUGACCUGCCAUCCAUGACAAUGUGUGUGCUUGGCCAGUGACCACGUUCCUGUAAGACUGCGUCCUAUGGUGUAGUGUGAGGACGCGCUCUUUGAGGGAGUUGUGUAGCGACCCAUGUUUAUAAGCGAAGAUAUCGACUUUGUCACUUGAGCAUGCCUUUAUGGCACAGUCGAGACGCGCUGGACAAGGCCCGCACGCUGGUGGCAGCCCGGGAUGGCACUAAACAGUUCCCCAUGCAUUGCCAACCAACCCGGAUGUAAUAUAAUUCUGGCCACAUUUUGACUCAGUGGCGCUUCUCGGUGCAGGACGUGGAAGGGGGAGGGAUGCACACACUAAACAGGAACAGGAACAUGAAUAGGUGCAUCACCGGUCACUGAGCUAGCAAGCUAAAGUUAGCUAGUUAGUCACAUAAAUGUACGUUCAGCCUGUUAAUUAUUUCUGUCCGAUUUGACUUAUCUUACGAAGUCAGCAUGGCUUAACAUAGUUUCUUUCGUUUUUGACCUCGACAUUGUUCCUCGAUAGGUAUUUUCAUAGCUAUCAUGCUGUCGCUGUUAGCUAGCUAAUGCUAGCAGCGCUAGCUAACCUCAUAUCUGGAUGCCUCACUCUAGUUCCCGAAAGAGAGCAGCAUACUGAUCUGCCAACCUGCUCGGUGGGUGACAGGUAACCGUCUUUCCACCAAGCUGUUCCAGGCCUGGAGUGCCACGCUGGAACUUCCAGAGGCUUGUAGACCUGAAGCAGUGUGAUGUGGUCCUGGUAAUUAUCAAACACACAUAUACACACUCAAUCACUCACUCUGUCUUGUUGUAUAAUUAUUUUAAAGUAAGAAAAUUGUUCCUCUCUGUCGUCUGCUCCUGCAUCUGCUACACUGGCCACAACAUGUGAUACAGAUCUGCCACGCCCAGUAGUUCAGCUGCAGUCACAGCAGUCUUCUGCUGUGGUAGUUAAUUUACCGGCUGCACCAAUGCCUACUACACUGGCCGUGAAAGGAGAAACCUUUUGGUAUUCCUUGAUGGAUACAGAUCUUCCAUGCACUCCACCACUGCCUGACAGCCUCACCCAGAAGUGCAUACACGGGGCCUAUCAGAGAUGGGUGGCUGUUAAGGAAAAAUAAAACAUGCACACACACACACAUUAUCCACAAUGUAAAUAAGUUGUAAUUACUUAAUAUUUGCUCCAUUUUAUUUUAGGAUUAUAGAUAUCUACUCCUUUAUAGCCAUUCUCAAUAUCUACAUAAUUACUCAAACUAUCUAUCAAAUCAAAGUGUGAUUGAUAAUAUUGUAAAAGACUAUGGCUUAAUGUGUACAGUUUGAGGAAAUUAUGAGUGCUUUUUUUCUGAGUUGAAAAACAUGCCUCGCUCACACACAUUGGACCCAAUGUAAAUCAGUUGUAAUAACUUGUUUAUUUUAUGUAUGGUUAAUUUUAUUUGAGGAAAAUAUCUGCAAUAAAGUACAUUCACAGUUAAAGCAAUGUCUAUUUCUCAGAAUACAAUGUGUGUUCAGAAGGAAGUCGGCAGACCUGCAACCCUUGGACUGUGUGCAGGUUUUGUCAUCUGGAUAUGGGGAGGAAGAGUGCAG
rnacentral:lncRNA from 1 species